rnacentral:sRNA from 1 species
GACUGUUUGCUCUUUUAAGGGUCAUGUUCUCUCCCCUGGUGAUCUUUUGACUCAGGGGUCAAUAGAGAACUGUUGGACCGUGUGAACUCCAAGCACAGGCAGGAACCAGAAGUAUCCUGACCAAGACCGCUCCUGGAUUCCUAUGACUUGAGGGCUCCAGUCGGGUCCUUCCUAUCUGAAAUUGUGGUCUGAUCUCUGUUCUCUGGUGAGUCAGAGCUCCUGGAUAGUGGCUUUCUGCUCCGUGCACAGAUAAAGACCAGAAGGAUCCUGUUCGGACUGCUCCUAGGAUCAUGUGUCCAGAAGGCUCCAGACAGGCACCUCUUGGGGCAAGGAUGUGAGCACAAGUGUUUGUCUCCACAGUGCUCUCAGGAUUAAAAGCAUUUCUGACUGUCCAGCUCUCUUCCCAUGGGAAUCGUGGUGCUGAGCGCUUUGGGCCUGUGUCGCCCUGGCCACAGUUGGGAAACCAGAAGUAUCCUGUCCAAGACUGCUCUAAGAUUCCUGUGUCCAGAGUGCUCCAGGCAGGUUCUUCUUGGGCCAGGAAUGUGCAGUAGUGGUGGUCUCCCCAGAGAUCUCAGGAGUGUCCGUACUUCUUACAGUCCACCUCUAUAUUUCAUAGGAUCUGGAUACAGAAAGCUAUAGGACUGGGCCACCUCAGGGUGCAGACAGAACUUGCAAGGGACCUAUACCAGUCUGCUCCUAAGUUCCUGUGUCAGGAAGGAUCCAGAUGGGUUUACCUUGGGCCAGGAAUGAGAGACAAGAGGAGGCCUCCCCUCUUCUUUCAGGAUUUUCUGCACUUCUGAGAGUGCACUAUUUCCACAGGGGAUCUGUGCAUAGAAAAUUAUGGGACUAAAUCAGUUCUGGGCUCAGUCACAAACCAGAGUUAUCCUGUCCCAGCCGACUCCUGGUUUCCUAAGUUCUGAGGGCUCCAUGAGCAUUUGUCAGAGCAGAAGUGUUGUUCUUAGCACUGCUCUCAAGUGUGUCAGUGCUCCUGGAUACUGGCUUUCAGCUCCAUGCAAGAGCAAAGACAAGAAGGAUCCCAUCCUUGGUUGCUCCUAGGAUCCUGUAUUUUGAGGACUGAAGGGAGGGUUCUCUUGGGCCAGGAAUGUGUGCAGAAGUGGUGGUCUCCUUUGUGCCCUCAGGAAUGAACACACUUCUGAGAGUCCUUCUCUCUUCCCAAGGGGUCCUGGUACAGAAAUCUGUGGGACCAUGUCAUCUCAGGUCACAGGCAGAAAUUAGAAUGAUCCUGUCCCAGAGGCUCAUGGCUUCCUGUGUUGUGAGAUCACCAGGAAGGUCCCUCAGAGUAGGAGUGGUGGUCUUACCUCUGCUUUCAGGUGUGUCUAGUAUACUGGAGACUGGCUUUCAGCUCAGAGUGCAGGCAGAGACUGGAAGUAUCAUGUCCCUGGCAGUACCUUGGUUCUUGGAUCCAGAAGCCUCCAGAUUGGGAACUCAUUGGGUAGGGAUGUGAGCAAAAGUGAUGGUUUCUCCUGUGUUCUCAGGACUGAAUGCACUUCUGACAGUCCUGGUCUCUCCAUAAAUGAUCUUGGUACAGAAAUAUCCAUGACCUGUUCUGCUCUAGGCACAGGCAGAGACUAGAAUGAUCCUGUCUCAAAAGGCUCCUGGUAUCCUAUGUUUUGAGGUCUCCAGGGGAAUCUCUCAGAGGAGACGCGGUGGUCUUACGUCUCCUUUCAAAUGUGGCAGGUAUACUGGAGACUGGCUUUCAACUGUGAGCACAAGAAGAGACAGGAAGGAUCAUGUCCCUGACAGCUCCUAGGUCCCCGUGUCUAGUAGUCUCCAGACUGGUAAAUCUUAAGGCAGGCAUGUGAGCAGAAGUGGUGGUCUCCUUUGUGCUCUCAGGAUCAAUUGCAUUUCUGACAGUUCUGCUCUCUGUCCAGGGCAUCUGGGUAUGGAGAACUUUGGGCCCGUGUCAGCACUGGGCCCAGACAGAAACCAGAAGGAUCCUGUCUAAGUCUGGUCUUACCUCCCUGUUUUCAGAGGGAUCCAGGUUGGUUCCUCUUGUGCCAGUUAUUUGUUCAGAUCCAAUGAUCUCCCCUGUCCCCUCAGGAUGGUCAAUACUUCUAAGCUCCACACUGUCUCCCCGUGGGAUCUGGGCACACAGAGCUGUGGAAACAGUUAAUUUUGGGAACAGGCAGAAAACAGAAGGUUCCUGUAGCAGACUGCUCCUGGUUUCUUAUGUCCUGAGGAAUCCAGGAGGGUAUUUUUGAGCAGAAAUUGUGGCGUUACCUCUGCUUUCAGGUGUGUCAGUGCUUUUGGAGACUGGCUUUCAACUCCACGCAAAGGCAAAGAAAGAAAGUAUCAUGUCCUUGACUGCUCAUAGGAUCCUGUGUCCUGAACCUAGGUGGGUUCCACUUGGUCAUUAAUGUGAGCCCUGUUGGUGGGCUCCCCUGAGAUCUCAAGAUUGAAUGUAGCUUUGAGAACCAUGCUUUCUCACCAUGGUAUCUGGUGAGAAAGAACUCUGGGAAGGUACCAGUCACAGGUACCAAGGUUCUCCUAUUCCAGAAGUGUCUGGGUUUCCUGUGUCCUGAGGGUUAUGCAAGGGUACCUUCAAGAAGAAAUUGUGGUCUUAAAGUCUGCUGUCAGGUGUGUCAGCGAUACUAGCUAUUGGCUUUCCUCUCUGUGCACAGGAAAUGACCAGAAGUAGUCUGCCCAUGACUGCUCCUAGGUUCCUGUAUCCAGAGUGUUCCAGGUGGGUUUCUCUUGUGCCAGGGAUUGUGAGCAACAGAGAUGGUCUCUCCUGUCCUCUCAGGAUGGUCCAGUCUUCUGAGAAGCACGCUCUCUCCUCAGGGGAUCUGGGUACAGAGAGCUGUGGAACCAGUUCAAUUUCUGGCACAGGCAGAAACCAGAAGGAUCCCGACCGAUGACUCCCUGUUUCCUAUGUCCUGAGGGCACCAGAAGGGUACAUUGGAGCAGAAAUUGUGGUCUUUCCUCUGCUUUCAGGUGUGUCAGGUAUACUGAAGAUUGGAUUUCUGCUAUGUGCACAGGCCACAACCAGAACGAUCAUGUCCUGACAGUUCCUAGGUUCCUAAGUGUCUAAAAGGCCCCAGACUGGUACCUCUUUGGUCAGGUUUGUCGCUGCUUUUGGAGAGUGGCCUUCAACUCUGUGCACAGGCAAAGACUGGAAGGAUUUUGUCCCUGAGGGCUCCUAGGAUCCUGUGUUCUGAGUGUCCCAGGUGGGUUCCUCUUGGGCCAGGAAUGUGAGCAGAAGUGGUGGUUCCCACUUAGCUCUCAGGAUUGUCCUCACUUCUUUGAGUACAGCUCAGUUCAUCGUGGGAUCUGGGUAAAGACUGGUGUAAGACUGGGUCAGCUCUGAGAGAGAUGGAAACUAGAAGGACCCAGUCUAAGUCUGCUCCUAGGUUCCUGUGUCCAGAAGCCUCCAGUCUGGUACACCUUGGGCCAGGAAUGUGAGCAGACGUGGUGGCCUCCCCUGUGCUCUUAGGGCUGAAUGUACUUCUGAAAGUCCCCUACUCUCCCCAUGGGAUCUUGGUACAGAAAUAUGUGGGACAGCAUUGGUACUGGCCACAUCUGGAAAGGAGAAGAAUCCUGUUCAAGUCUGCUCUCAGUUUCUUGUGUCCAGAGAUCUCCAGGUUCCAGUGUCCAGAGGGCUCCAUGAUGGUUCCACUUGUGCCUUGAAGGUGACCAGAAGAGAUUUUCUCCCCUGUCCUCUCAUGAUUGUCCAGUCUUCUAAGAUUCAUGCUCUCUCCCCCAGGGAAUCUGGGUAAAGAGCGCUGUGGGAUCAGGUGAGUUACAGUAACAGGCAAAAACCAGAAGGAUCCUGUCCCAGUCUGCACUUGGGUUCCUGUGUCCAGAUGCCUCUAGGCAACUUCCUUUCGGGACAGCUAUAUGAGCAGUCAUGGUGGUCUCCCCUGAGCGCUCAGGAAUCUCUGCUCUCUGAGUGUCCAGCUUCAUAGCACACGGGAGCUGGAUACAGAAACCUGUAGCAUCUGGUCAUGUCCGUGAGGAGAAGGAAUCUUCAAUGAUCCUAUCCCAGUCUGCUCCUACGUUCCUGUGCCCAGAGAGCUCCAGGCAGGUUCCUUUUGGGUCCAGAAGCUGACUAGAAGAGGUGGUCUCCCCUGUCCACUCAGAAUUGUCCUCAGUUUUGAUAAUCACAGUCUCUCCCCAGGGGAUCUGGGUACAGAGAGCUGUGUGACCAGGUCAGUUCCAGGCACAGGUAGGAACCAGAGAUAUCCUAUCCCAGACAGUUCCUAAUUUCUUAUGUCCUGAGGACUCCAGGAUGGUCUCACAGAGCAGAAGUGGUGGUGUGCUUGCCCCUCCUUUCAGUUGUGUGAGAGUAUUUUGUGUCUGGCUUUCAGCUCCAUGCACAGUCAAAGACCAGAAGGAUCCUGUCUCUGACUGCUUGUGGGAUUCUGUAUUUGGUAGGUUCCACGCGGGUUCCUCUUGGGAAAGGAAUGUGAGCAGAAGUGGUGUUUUCCCCUGAGCUCCCAGGAUAGUCUUCAAUUCUGUGAGUCUAACUCUAUUCCUCAUGGGAUCUGUGUACAGAGAGUGUGAAAGCAUGUCAGCUCUGAGAGCAAAUGGAAACCAGAACGAUCCUGUUCCAGUCAGAACCUGGGUUCCUGUGUCCACAAGGCUCUAGAUUGGUACCUGUUAGACCAGGAAUGUGAGCAGAGGUGUUGGAUGCCCCUGUGCUCUCAGGAUUGAACACACUUCUGAGAGACCCGUUCUCUCCUCAAGGGAUCUAUGUACAGAAAUCUGUAGGACAGGGUCAGCUCUGACACAGGCAUAAAUUAGAAUGGUCCUGUCCCAGAUGGCUCCUACUUUCCUAUGUGCUGAGAUAUCCAGGCGGGUCCCUCGGUGUAGAAAUGGUGGUCUUACCUCUUCUUUCAGAUCUGUCAGGUAUCCUGGAGAAGGACUUUCAGCUCUGAGAGCAGUCUGAGAGCUGAUGGAUCUUGUAUCUGACAGCUCCUAGGUUCCUGUGUCCAGAAGGCUCCAGCCUGGUACCUCUUGGUGCA